rnacentral:rRNA from 1 species
CCCAAGCUAUUUAGGUUAGAGUUUGAUCAUGGCUCAGGACGAACGCUGGCGGCGCGCCUAACACAUGCAAGUCGAACGUGAAGCCUGGAGCUUGCUCCGGGUGGAAAGUGGCGAACGGGUGAGUAACACGUGAGAAACCUGCCCCGAAGACCGGGAUAACACCGGGAAACCGGUGCUAAUACCGGAUGCCCUCACCGGACCGCAUGAUCCGGUGAGGAAAUGGAUUCCGCUUCGGGAUGGUCUCGCGGCCUAUCAGCUUGUUGGUGGGGUAACGGCCUACCAAGGCUUAGACGGGUAGCCGGCCUGAGAGGGUGACCGGCCACACUGGGACUGAGACACGGCCCAGACUCCUACGGGAGGCAGCAGUGGGGAAUAUUGCGCAAUGGGCGAAAGCCUGACGCAGCGACGCCGCGUGGGGGAUGACGGCCUUCGGGUUGUAAACCUCUUUCACCAUCGGCGAAGCCCAUAGCUUUUGUUGUGGGUGACGGUAGGUGGAGAAGAAGCACCGGCCAAAUACGUGCCAGCAGCCGCGGUACCCA